UUACUUUUUGUAUAAAUGCGCUCUCCACAAAUUUUCCCCAGAGCAAGGCUCCGCCUUGCACCCCAAUAGCCAGACUGAGAGGGUUCCAAUCUGGGAUCUGGUACCUAGAACAGAUCAAUCUGAAAGGAGAAUGCAUUGCACAAGAGGGAAAUCUAUGCUGUACACCGUACUUGUAUAAGGACAUGUGGACAACACCACGUGGCAGCACGUUUGUUUAUACAAGAUCCGUUGCAGGCCUGGGACGCAUUGGAAGGAUGAGCACCCCCAGCGCUGAAGCGCACUACACAGAGCAACAGGUUGCCGCCGAUCCGGCGGACGUUCUCCUGCUCCAUCAGGUAGUCCCGCAAAGGGAUGGGAAGGCAAAGAGGAACCAGACUCAGAACAAGGAACACCAGCCAACCAGCCUGAGGCUUCAUGUCAUGGACACACCUGGGGAAAAAACAUUCAGAGCUAGAUCAUCCAACUGCAACCGAGACAGCAGGUCCUAGUCACCGCUCCUUCAGACUACAAAGCAAAGCAGCUAUUAAAACAUGGAACAAAUCAAACAAGCCAACACUGACAGUUCCAAUUCCUUGUUUCAGUUUCACUUUUAUGCUUAUGGCUCGUCUAGAGACCCUCAGGAAUAUAUUUUAAAAGAAGAGGAGGGGAGGGGGGCAGGAAAGGUUAUGAGAAAAAGAAACUAAAGGAAUGUAAGGAGCAGAAAACCUUGGCUGGCCAGGUGAAGAGGGCUGAGGUAACAAUAGGCUGAGCUAGCAGGAGGACAUUCCAGAGCCUCAUGGAGAAUGGGAAAUGGAGACCCAGAGCAGCAGAAAUAUUCGACACAUCUCCACAAAGGAUAUGGUCAGAGGAAAGGAGUGUUCUCUGGUGGUUCUCAGAUAGCCAGCUGGUCACAUAGCAUUUCCUCAUUCUUCUAUCCCAUUUGCUAAAUUUUAACCUCUUCAUUGCCCUCAUGUGAGAAGUCAUUGUCAUCUCUGUGUAACUGCCACCCACUCAUAAUCUGACAGUUUUACAUAGAUGACAAAUGUACUCUCAGGAGAGGCCUGGGCCCAGGCUAUUUUACAAACUGCAUUGCUUCCUACUCUGAGGCCCCACCCAAACUGUCACAGAAAUACACAUCUGCUGAGCUAUUUUAACACAGUUCAGAGUAAGCCAGUUUAAACACAGUUUUGUCUGGCUAUUGAAGACCAGGAACAGCUACAUUGCAAACACCAUUUAAAAGACCUUUUUAGACAAGAUCCCCAGCUAGUCGUAUUUAAACACACUUUUAAUGGUUU